rnacentral:rRNA from 1 species
GAUGAACGCUGGCGGCGUGCCUAAUACAUGCAAGUCGAGCGAACAGACGAGGAGCUUGCUCCUCUGACGUUAGCGGCGGACGGGUGAGUAACACGUGGAUAACCUACCUAUAAGACUGGGAUAACUUCGGGAAACCGGAGCUAAUACCGGAUAAUAUAUUGAACCGCAUGGUUCAAUAGUGAAAGACGGUUUUGCUGUCACUUAUAGAUGGAUCCGCGCCGCAUUAGCUAGUUGGUAAGGUAACGGCUUACCAAGGCAACGAUGCGUAGCCGACCUGAGAGGGUGAUCGGCCACACUGGAACUGAGACACGGUCCAGACUCCUACGGGAGGCAGCAGUAGGGAAUCUUCCGCAAUGGGCGAAAGCCUGACGGAGCAACGCCGCGUGAGUGAUGAAGGUCUUCGGAUCGUAAAACUCUGUUAUUAGGGAAGAUCAAAUGUGCAAGUAACUAUGCACGUCUUGACGGUACCUAAUCAGAAAGCCACGGCUAACUACGUG